AGAACGAACGCUGGCGGCAGGCUUAACACAUGCAAGUCGAACGCGUGUAGCAAUACACGAGUGGCGCACGGGUGAGUAACACGUGGAUAUCUGCCUUUUGGUUCGGGAUAACCCUGGGAAACUAGGGCUAAUACCGAAUGGUUCCUACGGGAUAAAGAUUUAUCGCCAAAAAGAUGAGUCCGCGUCCGAUUAGCUAGUUGGUGGGGUAACGGCUCACCAAGGCGACGAUCGGUAGCUGGUCUGAGAGGAUGAUCAGCCAGACUGGGACUGAGAACGGCCCAGACUCCUACGGGAGGCAGCAGUCGGGAAUUUGCCCAAUGGACGAAAGUCUGAGGCAGCAACUCCGCGUGAGGGAUGAAGGCUCUAGGGUCGUAAACCUCUUUUCUCAGGGAAGAUCCAAGACGGUACCUGAGGAAUAAGCGACGGCUAACUACGUGCCAGCAGCCGC
rnacentral:rRNA from 1 species